rnacentral:rRNA from 1 species
UUUAAAUGUAAAUAUUUAAUGACCAGGGUAGUAAUUGUUAUGUUCUUCAAACCCAAAGAAUUUGGCGGUGCUUUAGUCCCUUCAGAGGAAUCUGUCCCGUAAUCGACAUCCCACGAUAUAAAUUACUUAUUUUUGUUUUCAGUUUGUAUACCUCCGUCGUAAGAGAAUCUUUUUAGAGUUUAAUUUUCUUAAUAUAUUAAUUAUAUUAUGUCAGGUCAAGGUGCAAUUUAUAAAUAAGUGGAGAUGGAUUACAAUAAAAUUAUUUAAACGGAAUAAAUUAUUUAAUUUUUUAUGAAGGUGGAUUUGAUUGUAAUUUUAACAGUUUGUUACUAUGAUUAUUGGCUCUAAAGUAUGC